rnacentral:rRNA from 1 species
CACGGGUGCGUAACACGUAUGUAACCUACCUUGUUCAGGGGGAUAGCCUCUCGAAAGAGAGAUAAGACCGCAUAAAAUCACAAUGUGGCAUCACAAAAUGAUCAAAUAUUUAUAGGAACAAGAUGGGCAUGCGGAACAUUAGCUAGUUGGUGAGGUAACGGCUCACCAAGGCGACGAUGUUUAGGGGAUCUGAGAGGAUGGCCCCCCACACUGGUACUGAGACACGGACCAGACUCCUACGGGAGGCAGCAGUAAGGAAUAUUGGUCAAUGGACGAAAGUCUGAACCAGCCAUGCCGCGUGCAGGAAGACGGCCCUAUGGGUUGUAAACUGCUUUUGCAGGGGAAUAAACCUCUCUACGUGUAGAGAGUUGAAUGUACUCUGAGAAUAAGGAUCGGCUAACUCCGUGCCAGCAGCCGCGGUAAUACGGAGGAUCCGAGCGUUAUCCGGAUUUAUUGGGUUUAAAGGGUGCGUAGGUGGCCUGUUAAGUCAGGGGUGAAAGACGGUAGCUCAACUAUCGCAGUGCCCUUGAUACUGAUGGGCUUGAAUAAACUAGAGGUAGGCGGAAUGUGACAAGUAGCGGUGAAAUGCAUAGAUAUGUCACAGAACACCAAUUGCGAAGGCAGCUUACUAUGGUUUUAUUGACACUGAGGCACGAAAGCGUGGGGAUCAAACA